UUCAACCCGACGCGCGUUUCGGUGCUGUGAUGCACCUUCGUCAGGGGCUGAAUGGUUCUCCCAUUCAGCCCCUGACGAAGGUGCAUCACAGCACCGAAACGC
rnacentral:miRNA from 1 species